GCUUACGGCCAUACCACCCUGAGCACACCCGAUCUCGUCUGAUCUCGGAAGCUAAUCAGGGUCGGGCCCUGGUUAGUACUUGGAUGGGAGACCGCCUGGGAAUACCAGGUGCUGUAAGCU
rnacentral:rRNA from 1 species